rnacentral:rRNA from 1 species
GAUGAACGCUGGCGGCGUGCCUAAUACAUGCAAGUCGAGUGAACAGAUAAGGAGCUUGCUCCUUUGACGUUAGCGGCGGACGGGUGAGUAACACGUGGGUAACCUACCUAUAAGACUGGGAUAACUUCGGGAAACCGGAGCUAAUACCGGAUAACAUUUGGAACCGCAUGGUUCUAAAGUGAAAGAUGGUUUUGCUAUCACUUAUAGAUGGACCCGCGCCGUAUUAGCUAGUUGGUAAGGUAACGGCUUACCAAGGCAACGAUACGUAGCCGACCUGAGAGGGUGGUCGGCCAGACUGGAACUGAGACACGGUCCAGACUCCUAGGGGAGGCAGCAGUAGGGAAUCUUCCGCAAUGGGCGAAAGCCUGACGGAGCAACGCCGCGUGAGUGAUGAAGGGUUUCGGCUCGUAAAACUCUGUUAUUAGGGAAGAACAAACGUGUAAGUAACUGUGCACGUCUUGACGGUACCUAAUCAGAAAGCCACGGCUAACUACGUG